GACGACGACUCCUACGGGAGGCAGCAGUGGGGGAAUAUUGCACAAUGGGCGCAAGCCUGAUGCAGCCAUGCCGCGUGUAUGAAGAAGGCCUUCGGGUUGUAAAGUACUUUCAGCAGUGAGGAAGGUGGGUAUGUUAAUAGCAUACUCAUUUGACGUUAGCUGCAGAAGAAGCACCGGCUAACUCCGUGCCAGCAGCCGCGGUAAUACGGAGGCGCGAGCGUUAAUCGGAAUUACUGGGCGUAAAGCGCAUGCAGGUGGUUUGUUAAGUCAGAUGUGAAAGCCCCGGGCUCAACCUCGGAAUUGCAUUUGAAACUGGCAAACUAGAGUACUGUAGAGGGGGUAGAAUUUCAGGUGUAACGGUGAAAUGCGUAGAGAUCUGAAGGAAUACCGGUGGCGAAGGCGGCCCCCCUGGACAGAUACUGACACUCAGAUGCGAAAAGCGUGGGGAGCAAACAGGAUUAGAUACCCUGGUAG
rnacentral:rRNA from 1 species